rnacentral:rRNA from 1 species
GAACCACCUGAUCCCUUCCCGAACUCAGAAGUGAAACCUCUUAGCGCUGAUGGUAGUGUGGGAUUACCCAUGUGAGAGUAAGUCAUCGCCAG